CCUACGGGAGGCAGCAGUGAGGAAUAUUGGUCAAUGGACGAGAGUCUGAACCAGCCAAGUAGCGUGAAGGAUGACUGCCCUAUGGGUUGUAAACUUCUUUUAUAAAGGAAUAAAACGAGGCACGUGUGCCUUGUUGCAUGUACUUUAUGAAUAAGGAUCGGCUAACUCCGUGCCAGCAGCCGCGGUAAUACGGAGGAUCCGAGCGUUAUCCGGAUUUAUUGGGUUUAAAGGGAGCGUAGAUGGGUUGUUAAGUCAGUUGUGAAAGUUUGCGGCUCAACCGUAAAAUUGCAAUUGAUACUGGCAGUCUUGAGUACAGAUGCGGUAGGCGGAAUUCGUGGUGUAGCGGUGAAAUGCUUAGAUAUCACGCAGAACCCCGAUUGCGAAGGCAGCUUACUAAACUGUGACUGACAUUGAUGCUCGAAAGUGUGGGUAUCAAACAGGAUUAGAUACCCGGGUAGUC
rnacentral:rRNA from 1 species